GAGUCCCCGCUGCGGUCCAGCUCUGCUCGCAGCGGCCGGCCGAAGCUGGGCUGGGGCUCCCGGUCUGGACCAUCCGGGGGUCAAGACAGUGGUCAGGGGGAAAUGCGCGUGGGCGUCACUAGCGGUCUGUGGAAGGGAGUUGGAGGAGAGUGGUCCGAGCUCUUUUGAGGAAAGCCAUCAGGUCAUCACUGUAAAGACUGGAGCGUCCCGCGGCCUGGCUGGGUCCCAAGCGAAGGCGGAGCCGACGAGGCCCCGCCGCCCCCCACCCCCUUCCCGGGGCCACAGAGAGAAGUCGGGUCGCGAGACCGCGCCGAGGGGGCUGCCGCCCUGGGAGUCACAGCCCCGUCCGCGCGCCUUGCCCUGUCGGCGGGGCACUGGGGGCAAACCACUUAACCUCCGGACUCUGUUUCCCCAGCUGGAAAGCAGAAACACCAAUGCCUACCUCGUGGGGUGGAGGGAGCAGAAACGGAGCCGAGGAAGGGACCGUGGCUCGGUAGUCUGCAAUAGAGGCAAGAACCAAGCUGUCUGCUGCAGCAGUUGAGAAGAGCCUCGGCCCUGGCACUGUGGCUCAUGCCUGUAAUCCCAACACUUUGGGAGGCCGAAAUGGGAGGAUCACUUGAGCCCAGGAGUUCGAGACCAGCCUUGACAACAAAGUGAGAGCCCCAUCUCUACAAAAAAAAAAAAAAAAAAAAAACCAGAAAAUCUACCGGGCGUGGUGGAGCAGGCUUGUAGUCCCAGUGACUGGGGAGACUGAGCUUGGGGGACUACUUGAGCCCUGGGAGGACCACUUGAGCCCUGGGAAAACAGCUUGAGCCCCAGGAGGCCAAAGUGGCAAUGAGC
rnacentral:lncRNA from 1 species